UUAUGUGGAUGUGUUCAGCACCAAAGACAGGUGCAUUUGCCUGUGUGUGGAUUAUGUUCAGCACCAAGGACAGGUAUGUUUGUUU
rnacentral:pre_miRNA from 1 species